UCAAUAGGAAACCAGUUCCAAGGGACUCAGCUAAGCCACUCAGAGAAAAAAAGACCUGAGCUUUAUUCGGAGAGGAAAAAAAAAAAAAAUGGUAUGCAGCUGCAGCUUACCCCGCAUGACACUGCACAGAAUCCCAAAGAAAUAGAGCGGGAGAGACCCAGCCGUGCCUGCAGCCUGCCCCUCUCUCGGCUUGUGGCUAGGAUUAGGGAAAUGCUCUGACCUAUACACAUGGAUGGACAUUUGCUCAAAAGAUGUGGUCCCUGGACUGGAAGCUUCAGAAUCAUCUGGAAAUGUGCUAGAAAUGCAGGCUCCCAGGCCUCCCCUACCACUCCUUUACAAGUACACAAGGUCACUGGAUAGAUGGUCCCUUUGGAUCACGUGCUCAUCCCUGGCCCAGUCAGCUGUGAUCAGAGGAGCAAGACCGUGAGAUAAGGCUUGAAACCUAAGGAAUUUCAAAGAGGGGGCCAUGAUGGGCAUUCAGCGGCAUCUCAGGAGGGGGCAGAGUAACCAGCAGAUUGGGAAACCCAGGUAACAGUGCAUAGAUGAAUUGCCUAAGGUUCUGCUUCUAGUUGGUGUCCUGCGAAUCAGUUCAGCCCAGAGAACUCAUCACUACCAGGCCCAG
rnacentral:lncRNA from 1 species